GAUGAACGCUGGCGGCGUGCUUAACACAUGCAAGUCGAACGAAGCACUUACCAAGGAUUCUUUCGGGAUGACUAAUAAGUGACUGAGUGGCGGACGGGUGAGUAACGCGUGGGUAACCUACCUCACACAGGGGGAUAACAGUUAGAAAUGACUGCUAAUACCGCAUAAGCGCACAGGACCGCAUGGUCUGGUGUGAAAAACUCCGGUGGUAUGAGAUGGACCCGCGUCUGAUUAGCUAGUUGGUGGGGUAACGGCCCACCAAGGCGACGAUCAGUAGCCGACCUGAGAGGAUGAACGGCCACAUUGGGACUGAGAUACGGCCCAGACUCCUACGGGAGGCAGCAGUGGGGAAUAUUGGGCAAUGGGGGAAACCCUGACCCAGCAACGCCGCGUGAAGGAAGAAGGCCCUCGGGUUGUAAACUUCUUUUACCAGGGACGAAGAACGUGACGGUACCUGGAGAAAAAGCAACGGCUAACUACGUG
rnacentral:rRNA from 1 species